rnacentral:lncRNA from 1 species
AGCCUGGUACUAUUCAAUUGGCACAACUGGCAUCCGGAAAGGGGUCCAUCUGAUCCGAGAGGGUCAAUUUCAGAAGCAUGAGACAGAGCCGGACUUCCACAAAAGUACAAAGACACUAUUAGCUUUUAAGCCCUCCCCAGAGAGCUACCCCCCAAGUGCUGGUCUCCUUGCUAGCCUUCAUCAAGUUGAUUUUCAUUCCCAACUUUAGCCCUAAAACAUUCCUCCCAGGUUAACAUUUUCCUGCAGCCAACCUAUUCUAUUACAGCUCUUGCAAGUUAUUUGAUGAACUAAUUUGAGUUUUACACCCUCCUCACUCUCCCAUCUGGGUAGCAUAUGUUCAUCCGGCUACUGAACAUUUAUUGAGCAAUAUCAUGUGAAAAUAUCCUUGCUAGGUAUCGACAGUGUAGAGGAAGAAUUGAGAAAGCAAGGUCCCUAUCUUACAGGAACGUAUCAUCUGAUAAGGGAGCAAAGAGGAGCAGAAAUAAUCACAGCAGAAAGCACAAAGUGUUCGGGAGCAUGACAAAUAUUAAAAGCACAGUGACUUUUCUGGAGAGAAAGCGUCCCCAACAUUUUAAGGCUCAGAUUCAGGGACACCACAGAUCAUGUCGAAAGCAGGUCAACAAAAUGUCAGUAAAAAUCAGCAAUUAUGCAAAAAAGGUAGGACACACAAAAAAAUCUACUGAAUAUGUGCAAGGCACACUGCUAUGGGAGUUGUACUCUUUCCAGAGAUAAAGCUUUUACAGGAAAAAGAAAAAAGGAAACAGAAAAGGUUUUGAUAUUGAUCUAGCAACACUGCCAUCCAGAAACAGCAGGUUAUUUUGUUCCAAAAAUCUAUAAGGCAAUCAAUUCCUGAUUAAGAAUUGUUUAUUAUUCUUCAUAGAGAUGAUCUAGCAUUUCUACAUCCGUACAAACCAACUAAUUUCCACUCAUUUAAUUUUAAAAAGAGAUGUCUACUCUACGAGUUUAAAGAACAAAGGAUGUACAGAGAUUAAGCAGAGAUGGUGUCUGAAUGGGUGUUACACUCUUUUGUUACGAAAGCAUAUCGCUCCAGCGCCUCAAUCCCAUCUUUCUUUUUUAACCCGCCACACUUGAAAAAGUCUGCAGAAAUGUGAAUCUGGUUUCAUGAUCAUGAAGUAUUUUUGAGGCCAAUUAGGGGAAACUGAUGAAGGAUAUUAGAUACAAUGAUGCACGUGUAAUCACUGAUUUAUAGAUUUCCUCCUCUACCUGCUAAUUCAUUCCUGCUGAUAGUCAGGGUUUUCAAGGUCUUCACUUUUUUUCAGAUCCCAAUUACUCAAUGUAAACAAAUGAAGAGGAAGUACGGGUAUUCAAUGUGAUUCAUUUGAACAGAAGGUAGGAAACAUUAGUAUCGAUGUAGUCCAGGACUUGCAAGCAAAGCACAACUAAAUUUAGCAGCCAGUGAUAUUGAUUUGAUUAAAAAUGGUUUAAGACUUGUAAAUGUCACUAGAACUUAGCAAAAUGAAUAUUAUUAAAUCCUUCUGGUGAUGGGGAAAACUAACAAAGGGAUUUGCAGUGGUUUCUGUAAUUAAUUGCUCUGUCAUGAUUUAUAUUAACUUACAGUACAACUCCAUUAGCUCAGACCUGUCAUCUCUGCUCAAGGAACCACCAAGUAAUCACUAGCACAUUAAAGAAUAAAUUAGUUUUUGGCUUGGAGCCUAGUUGUAGAAUGUUUCAUUUGUGUCUGCUGCAGACAUAUGUACCUAAUAAAGUUGGGACGAAUGAGUUAAAGUACAUAUAUAUCAAUGUCAGCGGGUUAUAUUUUAGAGACAAUACGCUCAGCAUUGUUCAUUAGGGCUAAUGAAUCACGGUCUUUCAGCUGCAUCACCGUAUUGCGCAAAUGCCUUCAGGUAAGCUGAGAUGCAAAAGAUUCCUUGAAAAUAGGUACGUCUCCAGAGAGUUUACCCUCUUAGCAGUCUGUGGCCUGUGGUUGUAAUAAUAGCUUCAUGUGGUUUUUGUUAACACUUCAUUACCCUAAAGUUGGAUAAAUUAUCCUCCUGCUUCUGCCCUACAUGCAAACGCAGAGCCAAAGCCUUAGCUACUAUUACUUACCGUAGAUUAUGGGGAUUUGUAAGGUUCUAUCAAAUCAUCUUUGACUUUGAUAGUUGGAUGAUACCUUAAGCAGUGCUUGAUAGAAGACUGUUUUACAUUUCAAAGAAAGCUCCAAUUGCCUUGAGGGUUUGUAGGCUAAAACUUGAACCACUUCCUUUUCAUUUCAGGCUCAGGAAAGCUAAAUUGGCAUUCUGCUGGCCGGGAUGAUAACUGACACAGAGCAAAACCUGUGGGGCAAUAUUUAUGGAGGCUGUGCCCAGCAAAGCUUGUGGCCCCAAGAGUUCACCCAAAUCUGCAAGGCUCCAAGGGCAAAGUCAUUUCAGCUCAAAAUCUUUGGGCACUACCCAGACGUUCAUAAUUCGUCCUGGAUCAUUUCUGCAAUUUGAAUCAUCAGAUGUCAGUGACUCCUUCACAGAUGCUACGCCUGCAGUGCAAGGAGCUUGCUACACAGGGGCUUCUCCUGCCUGGCUGAAUAGAGUGACAAAUGUCCAAAAUGCAGAAAGACUGCAGCCUUAGCCAGCUGGAAAAUGCAUACAUUAUUGAGGAUAAAAUAUGAAGAGUGUGAGUCGAUCUGUGAAAUAUGGGGAAGCUUAUUUUUGCUCUUCUAAUGUGCUAAGUGAUUAGAUUUCAUAUUUACAGUGAGUGGGGCCGAUAGCUUUUUCACUUAAUUGGAAGAAAACCUGGAAGCCCCCUCUCCCAGCAAAAAAAUUAUUCUGUGUCCUACAUAUCAUCGUAUAUCCCCAACUUCGUUAUAAAUAACGAACAAAGCAAAGAAGUAUUUUCUCCUGAAAUGAAACACAUGUUUCUUGCUUUCUUUCUUUUUUUUUUUUUUUUUUAAAUGAUGUCAGGAGAGGAAGGAGUAACUUGCCAAGAUGAGGAGUGGGGAGGAAUGAUGAUAGGAAGAUGGUAAUUUAAGUAAUGGUUCAAGAGAGAUACAAAGUUUUCUGUACAAAAGGAAUUACUUCUAAAUAUUUCUAAAUAUUGGUUUCAGCUCACUAAUAGAUAAAGAAGGAAACAGGAAGCCAUGAAGUUUUCCAGUUAUUCCUGUGAAGUCCUUACGAAAAUUUCCCCCUUGUACCCAGACGAGAUUUAAAAAUAAUGUUUGAAAUAACUUCUCAGCAAAGUUGUCUCAUUUAUUUUUACGGAAUUUUGUGAUGAUUUACCUUUAAUUCUAACAUAUCAGCAAUUAGAUACAAAAAAAAUAUAUCCCCAACUAGACUUCAAUAGUAGAACAGCCAGGAAUUUAACAUUUGUUCAGUUUUUAGUGAAAUAUUCCACCAAACUAAGGAUAAAAUGAAAACAGGGGAGGCAAAGAAGGGGGGGGGGAUCAGUCAAUUCUUUAAUCAAAUGGAUUUGCUUGGCUGAUUAUUUUUUAUGAAAUCCCCCCUUAUUUUCAGGUCUUUCUUAUUUUCCGUUGUUCUUAGAGGCAAGCCAGAUGCAUUCAGAGAGAAUUCACAGACUCGUGUGUAGAUGGAAUUAAGAGGAGCUACAUGUAACACAAAGAGAAUCCUUUCCUUAGGCGGUGCUUUGUGAUUCCUGCCCUUUUGUUUAUGCUUCCCCAAAGGAUUUGGAAAUAUCAAAUACAGGUUCUAAAUCUAUUAGAACAGUAGAUUCCCCAUGGACAAAAAAGAAGCACAUGCAGAUCAAACAUCCAGAUUUUCUAAUCUUUCCUGGAUGGGUAACACAGAAGCAGCUGUAUUGUCCAAACAGUUACAAACACAUGGGAGACUCGGAAAGCAUUGACAAUCCCCUUUUUCAUAUUCUUUUGUUUGAAUCAACUAAUCAUCUAGAUAGAGAAAUUAAAAUAUCAUUUUUUUUUCUUGUUUCUCAUGGUCUGUUGGCCAGUUUUUGUAUGCUGGACAACUUCAAACAAAUUAUAUAGCUUUCUCCCUUUUUUUUCCCUCCACUUUGAGCUCUGGCGGAAGUUUCACAUGCAGGGUUGAGCCCCAAGUCCUUCAGUAAAGCAAAUGUUUCAUUUUCAGCAGAGCCCAUAUAUUCCAUUCAGACUCGCUUCUUUCACUUCUAGAUGUAAAGAGCAGCUGUGUCUCCCGAGUUGCUAAAGAAGAUCCUAUGUACAAAGUUAACAAAACACAGCUCGGACAAUGGAUUUGAUCUCUACAGCAGGGAAGCUGUACUUUUCAAAUUCAGCUCUUUCGGGCUCCAACAAAUUACAGGUCCCUGAAAAGAUCUGGUGACCCUUUUUAAGUGUGUUUGUUGAACAAGCUCAGAGGUGACCAUAUGAUUCAGUACAGCGUGUUAACAUUUUGCCAAGCACUAGGGUCCAGGAGAGACUAUCUAUGGACUCUGGGCUCCCUCAGUUGGUGGCACUUAUGGGAUCCUUUAACUCUGCUCAAAUUCUUUAUCCAACCAGUUUCCACUGAUUAAGGGAACUGUUUAACCCUCCACACCCAGGGCCAGAUGCUGAUGCUGAUAUAUGGGUACCUUCUCCCUUUCCCCCACAAGAUACUCUUUUACCUCCUCAGAAUGGUGUAUUUAAAUAUUUGUCCAUCAUUUAUUUGACAGGACAAGAGAAAACAUAUUUUUAUUACCAAACUUAAAUAGCCCUGAGUUUACAUACUUGGGAGACGUUCAAGUACCUAGAAGAUAAAUAAUAAAUAGGUCAUUCCUAUGGAAGAGCAUCAUGCCCUCUAUGUUAGUCUAGUUCAGGUUUUCCACUGACUUCAGAUGAUGGGCCUUUGGGGGCUCAGAGUUAGUGGUGAGGUCUAUGCAAUUUGCUUGUCUUGCCAAAGAUAUGCAGUAAAGUUAGGUCAAAGGUAGAAAAAGGUACUUAUUCCUAAUGUGGCAGAAUCAGUAUUAACUUACAUUUUGUUUUCCAAUUUGGUAUGGUACAUGGGAAUACUAAUUGAAUGGUGUUCUGUGUCUAAUGUAGUGCACUGAUUUUACUGCCUCUUAAAUAUUGGCACGCUGGCCAGCUUCUUUGGGAAACCCAAUCCCUAAAGUGCCUCUGCCUUUCCGUCUUCAAAUUCAAGUUGCUCAUCCUCUUGAGAGGCGCACUGUAACGGAGCAGGACUCUAUGGGGCCUUCCCAGGAUAGAUGCCUCCCCAUAUCCUCUGCUUUAGCUCCUCUCAAGUGCCUAGAUAAUAAUAUCUCAUGCAUAUUUCUCAAGUUGUUUUACAGAUGCUAAAACCACCAUCAAAAUGGAAAAAAUUAACUACUUGAUGAUCAUGAACAUGCAGCCCGAGACCUAGUGACACCUAAGGAUUGAUAAUGUCAAUCCCUGUGGCACUGCCCUGCUACCUGCCUCACCAUCAACCAAUUAGAGAAUUAUGCACAAGCUGAUCAUGUGUCUCUCCCUCACCUUGCCUUUAAAAAAAUGCUCUGCUGAAACCCUUCGGGGAGUUCAGAGGUAUGGGGGGCAGGAGCUACCUAUUCUCUUUGCAUGGCCCUGAAAUAAAUCUCUUUCUGCUCCACAUCCCAAGGUUUCAGUUUGUUUGGUCUCAUGUGUCAGGCACACAGAGCUGUGUUCAGUAACAGGCCUUUUCCUUAUUAGCAAAAGAGGCACAAUAGUCCCUCUUGGAGAAAUAAAUCCUACUGCAUAUUUAUUUCCAUAUAUUACUACUAAUUGAUAUAGGUUUUUCAGCUCUUUUUGUGAACCCACAAGAGAUUGAAUUCUGCCUUCUCUAUUCUCCGCCAUAGUCAGCUUGGGCUCUGGAACUUUACCUAAGUUUCCUCUGGGCAGGAAAUAAAGAUUACUUGAAGUGAUAAUUCAAUGAAGAUUAAAUUUGAAUACAGUGACAAGCAAGUGCCCCACUUUCACAUUCAACAUCUCCAUCUUUACUCACAUUUCUACAUUUUCUACAAAUUUGCAUUUGCAUGUAUAAAUGCUGGCUUAGACAAGGCUCUAGAAGAGGUAUCCUGUUGGAAUCAAAAUUGCCUCAGGUGGUAUUAAAAGCAGCUCUUGUGCCCCUUUCCUGUUUGCCCAUUCUGUUCCCCUCUACCCUUAAAAUAACCUAAUUAUAGGCAUGAGAUCACUAGGCAAUUUAACCUAACUCCUGACUUAAUGUUCUCCUGAAUGCACCCCAUGCCUUGCCUAACCUGUUGAUUUUUCACAGAUAAAAAGAAGGAUGAAGAACUAAGCAGUUAAAAAAUGACUAGCUGUCUAACCCUAACAGCCCCCUUAGCAACCCUGCAGACAGAUCACACGGUCAAGAUAGCACCUGAAGAGAGUCAGCCAGUCUGCAUACAAUGGAGAAAGUUCAGAACCCAACCUCCCGCCUUGAUGAUUCAAUGAGAUUCCUCCCCCCAUUUUUCCUUUUAAAAGCUGUCAUGGCUGAGCAGAUUCUUCAGAGUUGGUCCCUAGACACGAGUUCACCUUUUCCCCAAGAUUGCUGGCUUUUCUGAUGAAAGCACCUUUCCUUUCUACUCCACACCCAGAGCCUCUGGAAUUAUUGGCUUUUGAGCAGCAAGCAGCUCAACCCUAGUUCAGUAACACUGCAAUGUCAGGUAAAAUGUUUGCUGUUU